rnacentral:rRNA from 1 species
UAUCACUCUUGGAUGGACCUGCGGUGCAUUAGCUAGUUGGUAGGGGUAACGGACCUACCCAAGGCGAUGAUGCAUAGCCCGAGUUGAGAGACUGAUCGGCCACAUUGGGACUGAGACACGGCCCAAACUCCUACGGGAGGCAGCAGUAGGGAAUCUUCCACAAUGGACGCAAGUCUGAUGGAGCAACGCCGCGUGAGUGAAGAAGGGUUUCGGCUCGUAAAGCUCUGUUGUUGGUGAAGAAGGACAGGGGGUAGUAACUGACCUUUGUUUGACGGUAAUCAAUUAGAAAGUCACGGCUAACUACGUGCCAGCAGCCGCGGUAAAU